rnacentral:lncRNA from 1 species
UUCUAACUUGUAGCUUCAAUCUUCUUUGUAGCAACUUCAGGGGGACGAUGUUUUUGUUUUUUCUGUCUGCUCCGCUACUACUUAGGGAGAUAAGACUUGAUGCGAUCUGCUCCACUACUGCUUAGGGAGAUAAGAUCUGUGGUUUUAAUCCGCUCCACUGUAACUUUAGGGAGAUAGGAUUGGUUUCUUCUGUCUGCUCCACUACUGCUUAGGGAGAUAAGACUUGAUGCGAUCUGCUCUACCACUGCUUAGGGAGAUAGGACUGGUGGCUUAAAUCUGCUUCACUACUGCUUAGGAAGAUAAGAUUUACCGUCUUCGAUCUACUCCACUACUACUUAGAGAGAUAAGAUCUACCAUCUUUAACCUGCUCCACUACUGCUUAGGGAGAUAGGAUCUACCAUCUUCGACCUGCUCCACUACUGCUUAAGGAGAUAGGACUGGUGGCUUAAAUCUGCUUCACUACUGCUUAAGAAGAUAAGAUUCGCCAUCUUUGAUCUGCUCCACUACUACUUAGGGAGAUAGGAUCUACCAUCUUCGACCUGCUCCACUACUGCUUAGGGAGAUAGGACUGGUGGCUUAAAUCUGCUUCACUACUGCUUAGGAAGAUAAGAUUCGCCGUCUUCGAUCUGCUCCACUACUGCUUAGGGAGAUAAGAUCUACCAUCUUUGACCUGCUCCACUACUGCUUAA